AACGAACGCUGGCGGCAGGCUUAACACAUGCAAGUCGAGCGCCCCGCAAGGGGAGCGGCAGACGGGUGAGUAACGCGUGGGGAUCUACCCAUCUCUACGGAAUAACGCAUGGAAACGUGUGCUAAUAACGUAUACGUCCUUCGGGAGAAAGAUUUAUCGGAGAUGGAUGAGCCCGCGUUGGAUUAGCUAGUUGGUGGGGUAAAGGCCUACCAAGGCGACGAUCCAUAGCUGGUAUGAGAGGAUGAGCAGCCACACUGGGACUGAGACACGGCCCAGACUCCUACGGGAGGCAGCAGUGGGGAAUAUUGGACAAUGGGCGCAAGCCUGAUCCAGCCAUGCCGCGUGAGUGAUGAAGGCCCUAGGGUUGUAAAGCUCUUUCACCGGUGAAGAUAAUGACGGUAACCGGAGAAGAAGCCCCGGCUAACUUCGUGCCAGCCGCCGCAGUAAUAC
rnacentral:rRNA from 1 species